GUCUGCCGUAACAGCUCUGGGUAAAGGAAUAAAAUAGGAUUCUGGUGCUGAAAAGCUGGAUAUGUGAUCCUGACUGUGC
ensembl:misc_RNA